AUUGAACGCUGGCGGCAGGCCUAACACAUGCAAGUCGAGCGGAUGAGUGGAGCUUGCUCCAUGAUUCAGCGGCGGACGGGUGAGUAAUGCCUAGGAAUCUGCCUGGUAGUGGGGGACAACGUUUCGAAAGGAACGCUAAUACCGCAUACGUCCUACGAGAGAAAGCAGGGGACCUUCGGUCCUUGCGCUAUCAGAUGAGCCUAGGUCGGAUUAGCUAGUUGGUGGGGUAAAGGCCUACCAAGGCGACGAUCCGUAACUGGUCUGAGAGGAUGAUCAGUCACACUGGAACUGAGGCACGGUCCAGACUCCUACGGGAGGCAGCAGUGGGGAAUAUUGGACAAUGGGCGAAAGCCUGAUCCAGCCAUGCCGCGUGUGUGAAGAAGGUCUUCGGAUUGUAAAGCACUUUAAGUUGGGAGGAAGGGCAGUAAGUUAAUACCUUGCUGUUUUGACGUUACCAACAGAAUAAGCACCGGCUAACUUCGUGCCAGCCGCCGCAGUAAUAC
rnacentral:rRNA from 1 species